AGCAGUGUGGCUCAGUGGAAAGAGCAUGGGCUUGGGAGUCAGAGGUCAUGGUUUCGAAUCCUGACUCUGCUG
rnacentral:tRNA from 1 species